GACGAACGCUGGCGGCGUGCUUAACACAUGCAAGUCGAACGGAAAGGCCUUUUCGGAGGUACUCGAGUGGCGAACGGGUGAGUAACACGUGGGUGAUCUGCCCUGCACUCUGGGAUAAGCCUGGGAAACUGGGUCUAAUACCGGAUAGGACCGCACUUUAGUGUGUGUGGUGGAAAGUUUUUUCGGUGUAGGAUGAGCCCGCGGCCUAUCAGCUUGUUGGUGGGGUAAUGGCCUACCAAGGCGGCGACGGGUAGCCGGACUGAGAGGUUGGACGGCCACAUUGGGACUGAGAUACGGCCCAGACUCCUACGGGAGGCAGCAGUGGGGAAUAUUGCACAAUGGGCGCAAGCCUGAUGCAGCGACGCCGCGUGGGGGAUGACGGCCUUCGGGUUGUAAACUCCUUUCGCCAGGGACGAAGCGUUUUGUGACGGUACCUGGAGAAGAAGCACCGGCUAACUACGUG
rnacentral:rRNA from 1 species